rnacentral:rRNA from 1 species
AGUGAACGCUGGCGGUAGGCCUAACACAUGCAAGUCGAACGGCAGCACAGUAAGAGCUUGCUCUUACGGGUGGCGAGUGGCGGACGGGUGAGGAAUACAUCGGAAUCUACUUUUUCGUGGGGGAUAACGUAGGGAAACUUACGCUAAUACCGCAUACGACCUACGGGUGAAAGCAGGGGAUCUUCGUACCUUGCGCGAUUGAAGGAGCCGAUGUCGGAUUAGCUAGUUGGCGGGGUAAAGGCCCACCAAGGCGACGAUCCGUAGCUGGUCUGAGAGGAUGAUCAGCCACACUGGAACUGAGACACGGUCCAGACUCCUACGGGAGGCAGCAGUGGGGAAUAUUGGACAAUGGGCGCAAGCCUGAUCCAGCCAUACCGCGUGGGUGAAGAAGGCCUUCGGGUUGUAAAGCCCUUUUGUUGGGAAAGAAAAGCAGCAGGUUAAUACCCCGCUGUUCUGACGGUACCCAAAGAAUAAGCACCGGCUAACUUCGUG